GACGAACGCUGGCGGCGUGCUUAACACAUGCAAGUCGAACGGAAAGGCUCCAGCUUGCUGGAGUACUCGAGUGGCGAACGGGUGAGUAACACGUGGGUAAUCUGCCCUGCACUCUGGGAUAAGCCUGGGAAACUGGGUCUAAUACUGGAUAUGACCUUUCUCCUUAUGGGGUUUGGUGGAAAGUUUUUCGGUGUAGGAUGAGCCCGCGGCCUAUCAGCUUGUUGGUGGGGUGAUGGCCUACCAAGGCGACGACGGGUAGCCGGCCUGAGAGGGUGAGCGGCCACAUUGGGACUGAGAUACGGCCCAGACUCCUACGGGAGGCAGCAGUGGGGAAUAUUGCACAAUGGGCGGAAGCCUGAUGCAGCGACGCCGCGUGAGGGAUGACGGCCUUCGGGUUGUAAACCUCUUUCAGCAGGGACGAAGCGUAAGUGACGGUACCUGCAGAAGAAGCACCGGCUAACUAUGUG
rnacentral:rRNA from 1 species